CAGCCGUAAACAAUGUGCGUUAGGUGUGUCGGUAACCACGCGUUACUGAUGCGCCGAAGAGAAAUCGUGAAACGCACCACCUGGGAAGUACGGUCGCAAGGCUGAAACUUAAAGGAAUUGGCGGGGGAGGCACCACAACAGGUGGAGCCUGCGGUUUAAUUUGGAUUCAACGCCGGACAUCUCACCGGAUAAGACAGCUGAAUGAUUGUCAAUCUGAAGGUUUUACAUGACUAGCUGAGAGGUGGUGCAUGGCC
rnacentral:rRNA from 1 species